AAAAAAAAGAAGAAGAAGAUUUUCAAAUGAUAUCAAAUAUGUACUUCCGGGCGCCAUCUUUGGGUAGAUUCUAAGGACCAAUAGUAUUCGAGUAUUCUCAUGAAAUCGUGAAGUAAAGCGUAAGACAUAGGAGCGCGGUCAAGUGCUCAUUUCCGUUUUCGAAUCCUACGUCAGCUACUCUGAAAGCCCGUGUGUUUUGUGUUUCUUUGGGGCCAUGAUGAUUCUCGCUAAUUUAACGUUCAAACUGUUGAAUUUGAAACUACACUUCUGGAGAUCAUAAAAAACAAUUAAAUAAAAAUUUAAAAAAAAAA